UACGUAGGGUGCAAGCGUUGUCCGGAAUUAUUGGGCGUAAAGGGCUCGUAGGCGGUCCAUCGCGUCUGCUGUGAAAAUCCGGGGCUCAACCCCGGACUUGCAGUGGGUACGGGCAGACUAGAGUGUGGUAGGGGAGACUGGAAUUCCUGGUGUAGCGGUGAAAUGCGCAGAUAUCAGGAGGAACACCCGUGGCUAAGGCGGCUCUCUAGUACGGUACUGACGCUGAGACGCGAAAGCGUGGGGAGCGAACAGG
rnacentral:rRNA from 1 species